rnacentral:rRNA from 1 species
UACAGAGGUCUCAAGCGUUGUUCGGAUUCAUUGGCGUAAAGGGUGCGUAGGCGGCGCGGUAAGUCGGGUGUGAAUCUCGGAGCUAACUCCGAACUGCAAUUCGAUACUGCGUGCUUGAGGACUGGAGAGGAGACUGGAAUUACGGUGUAGCGGUGAAAUGCGUAGAUAUCGUAAGGAGACAGUGGCGAAGGCCGGGUCUCUGGACAGUCUGACGCUGAGGCACGAAGGUCAGGGGGAGCAAAACGGG